rnacentral:rRNA from 1 species
GCAUAUCAAUAAGCGGAGGAAAAGAAACCAACAGGGAUUGCCUCAGUAACGGCGAGUGAAGCGGCAACAGCUCAAAUUUGAAAUCUGGCCCUAGGCCCGAGUUGUAAUUUGCAGAGGAUGUUUCUGGCGAGGUGCCUUCCGAGUGCCCUGGAACGGGACGCCAUAGAGGGUGAGAGCCCCGUACGGUUGGUCGCUAAGCCUCUGUGAAACUCCUUCGACGAGUCGAGUAGUUUGGGAAUGCUGCUCUAAAUGGGAGGUAUACGUCUUCUAAAGCUAAAUACCGGCCAGAGACCGAUAGCGCACAAGUAGAGUGAUCGAAAGAUGAAAAGCACUUUGAAAAGAGGGUUAAAUAGUACGUGAAAUUGUUGAAAGGGAAGCGCUCAUGACCAGACUUGGGCCGGUUGAUCAUCCGCCGUUCUCGGCGGUGCACUCUGCCGGCUCAGGCCAGCAUCAGUUUGGUCCGGGGGAUAAAGGUGUAGGGAAUGUGGCUCCCCCCGGGGAGUGUUAUAGCCCUGCGCGUAAUACCCUGGACUGGACUGAGGUUCGCGCAUCUGCAAGGAUGCUGGCGUAAUGGUUAUCAGUGACCCGUCUUGAAACACGGACCAAGGAGUCGUCUUCGUAUGCGAGUGUUCGGGUGUCAAACCCCUACGCGUAAUGAAAGUGAACGUAGGAGAGAGCUUCGGCGCAUCUCCGACCGAUCCUGAUGUUCUCGGAUGGAUUUGAGUAAGAGCAUACGGGGCCGGACCCGAAAGAAGGUGAACUAUGCCUGUAUAGGGUGAAGCCAGAGGAAACUCUGGUGGAGGCUCGCAGCGGUUCUGACGUGCAAAUCGAUCGUCAAAUAUGGGCAUGGGGGGCGAAAGACUAAUCGAACCUUCUAGUAGCUGGUUUCCGCGA